GUUCACCUGAGCACAGAAGAGAGCUUGUUUAACCAAAGCAGUCUGUAGCAGCCUGGUGGGCCCCAGAGGCAUGUCUCUCUCCCUAACCCCACUGUGCGUUUCAGCUGUGCCUAUGAAGUUAUACUAUUUCUGUCCGAGCUGACUGUCCUCAACAUAAAGGCUGGAUUCCCCGGGGUUUCCAUGGAAAAAUGCUGUGCUGUGCUUUCUAAAUGGGAGAUAGACAGAAGCACUGCUACUGUAGGGAAAGAGACAACACCCACAGUGGGCCAGCAGAAGGUCUUUCCUUACCAGGUUGUCUGUCUUGAAGCUCCCCCUCCCGUGCCGCAAACAAAGGUUGGACUUGAACCAGCCUGAGCCGGGUCCUCACCAUUGCUUUUCCAUUUCUUUCUGGACGAAGAUCUGUGCUGUCAUCAACAUGAAGGGGGUGACUGUUUCAGCCUCACUUAUUUCCUGGAUGAUAGAAGAGCUGCACUUCAGCCGUUC